rnacentral:rRNA from 1 species
GAUGAACGCUGGCGGCGUGCCUAAUACAUGCAAGUCGAGCGAACAGACGAGGAGCUUGCUCCUCUGACGUUAGCGGCGGACGGGUGAGUAACACGUGGAUAACCUACCUAUAAGACUGGGAUAACUUCGGGAAACCGGAGCUAAUACCGGAUAAUAUAUUGAACCGCAUGGUUCAAUAGUGAAAGACGGUUUUGCGGUCACUUAUAGAUGGAUCCGCGCCGCAUUAGCUAGUUGGUAAGGUAACGGCUUACCAAGGCGACGAUGCGUAGCCGACCUGCGAGGGUGAUCGGCCACACUGGAACUGAGACACGGUCCAGACUCCUACGGGAGGCAGCAGUAGGGAAUCGUCCGCAAUGGGCGAAAGCUUGACGGAGCAACGCCGCGUGAGUGAUGAAGGUCUUCGGAUCGUAAAACUCUGUUAUUAGGGAAGAACAAAUGUGUAAGGAACUAUGCACGUCUUGACGGUACCUAAUCAGAAAGCCACGGCUAACUACGUG